GGAACUAGCUCUUGUAGACCAGGCUGGCCUCAAACUCACAGAGAUCCGCCUGCCUCUGCCUCACGAGUGCUGGGAGUAAAGGAGUGUGCCACCACCGCCCGGCUCCCCAAGAUUUUCAUUUGGCCAUUUUCUUUUAGUGCAUCUGACAGCACGGGCGUGAUUUUUCCAUGCUGAAGUUGUAGCCUCGGUGGGGCUGGUCUUCGUUUCUUCUGCCUUCUCUCCCGCACUUCUCCAGGCUGUGCCGUCACUCUAGUUGUGUCAGGUGGCUGCCCAGAUGGUGGGGUGGAGAUGGGACUAGUGCUGCUCAGAGUCCGAACCUCAUGCCUGCGUGGUCCUGCUUUGUUUGUACUGGUUCCUUUCUCAGCUUGCUCUGACGUCUGCUUGGGUGCAAGCUUUACUUUUCUAGGAUCCACUAAUGGCUGCUGCAGGCCUGGAGGCAGCUAGGGACUGCUGCUGAGGCCUGGGAGCAAGCCCUGAACCAUACUCUCCCACAGGCACUGCUUCACUGGCAGCUACUCAGUCAUUGAGCCUUUGUUGAAGUACUUCCCUAACAUGUCGGUGGGCUUCACAGCAGUUCACUGACCUACUCCUCCCGCCUGGGAGGCCCGGGAUGCCUUAGACAGAUCCCCAUUGGAGAGGAUCAUUGUGGAAACAGACGCACCCUACUUCCUCCCUCGCCAGGCAGUGCAAAGCCCUACCCUGUAGAGGGUAGUCCAUGGAAGCGUGGGACCCCGCUCACCCAGAGCCCCCCAUGACUAGGACUCUCCCUGCACCUGCAGGUGCCGAGAAGCCUUUGCCAGUAUGCCCAUCCAGGCCUGGCCUUGCACACAGUUCGAGAGAUUGCCAGGGUCAAAGAGGAGUCACUUUCCCGUACUCUAAUGGUCCUCCGAGAGAACACCAGUCGCCUCUACAGUCUUUGAGCAGGGAGCAUGAGCAGGCAUCUUCUGGCAAAGGAUGACCAGUGGCCUGAUAGUAUAGGAUGGGCUCCCUCUGCCUGUGUCCGAGGUGAAGGAUGUGUUGGAGAGCCUGUCAAAACUCAGCAAACCAGGAUGGAAUAUUGCCCUUGGAACCUCAUCACAAGGCUUCACCUGCUGGUUGGUGGGUGGGUACUGUGAAAUGGAUUUGGGGAAAGGGGUAGUUUUGCCUGCUGGCCACAUGACCCCAGGGUUAUCAGUGAGCAAAAACAUUUGUGGCACAAGAGUCCAGUGAGUUGGCCAGUCUGGAUACCUGCCCAAUAACCUGGGUUUCCCAGCAAUCUGAAUAAAGUCACUUCUUUGUCUUAGCA